AAAUUGAAGAGUUUGAUCAUGGCUCAGAUUGAACGCUGGCGGCAGGCCUAACACAUGCAAGUCGAACGGUAACAGAAAGCAGCUUGCUGCUUUGCUGACGAGUGGCGGACGGGUGAGUAAUAUCUGGGAAACUGCCCGAUGGAGGGGGAUAACUACUGGAAACGGUAGCUAAUACCGCAUAACGUCGCAAGACCAAAGAGGGGGACCUUCGGGCCUCUUGCCAUCGGAUGUGCCCAGAUGGGAUUAGCUAGUAGGUGGGGUAAAGGCUCACCUAGGCGACGAUCCCUAGCUGGUCUGAGAGGAUGACCAGCCACACUGGAACUGAGACACGGUCCAGACUCCUACGGGAGGCAGCAGUGGGGAAUAUUGCACAAUGGGCGCAAGCCUGAUGCAGCCAUGCCGCGUGUAUGAAGAAGGCCUUCGGGUUGUAAAGUACUUUCAGCGGGGAGGAAGGGAGUAAAGUUAAUACCUUUGCUCAUUGACGUUACCCGCAGAAGAAGCACCGGCUAACUCCGUGCCAGCAGCCGCGGUAAUACGGAGGGUGCAAGCGUUAAUCGGAAUUACUGGGCGUAAAGCGCACGCAGGCGGUUUGUUAAGUCAGAUGUGAAAUCCCCGGGCUCAACCUGGGAACUGCAUCUGAUACUGGCAAGCUUGAGUCUCGUAGAGGGGGGUAGAAUUCCAGGUGUAGCGGUGAAAUGCGUAGAGAUCUGGAGGAAUACCGGUGGCGAAGGCGGCCCCCUGGACGAAGACUGACGCUCAGGUGCGAAAGCGUGGGGAGCAAACAGGAUUAGAUACCCUGGUAGUCCACGCCGUAAACGAUGUCGACUUGGAGGUUGUGCCCUUGAGGCGUGGCUUCCGGAGCUAACGCGUUAAGUCGACCGCCUGGGGAGUACGGCCGCAAGGUUAAAACUCAAAUGAAUUGACGGGGGCCCGCACAAGCGGUGGAGCAUGUGGUUUAAUUCGAUGCAACGCGAAGAACCUUACCUGGUCUUGACAUCCACGGAAGUUUUCAGAGAUGAGAAUGUGCCUUCGGGAACCGUGAGACAGGUGCUGCAUGGCUGUCGUCAGCUCGUGUUGUGAAAUGUUGGGUUAAGUCCCGCAACGAGCGCAACCCUUAUCCUUUGUUGCCAGCGGUCCGGCCGGGAACUCAAAGGAGACUGCCAGUGAUAAACUGGAGGAAGGUGGGGAUGACGUCAAGUCAUCAUGGCCCUUACGACCAGGGCUACACACGUGCUACAAUGGCGCAUACAAAGAGAAGCGACCUCGCGAGAGCAAGCGGACCUCAUAAAGUGCGUCGUAGUCCGGAUUGGAGUCUGCAACUCGACUCCAUGAAGUCGGAAUCGCUAGUAAUCGUGGAUCAGAAUGCCACGGUGAAUACGUUCCCGGGCCUUGUACACACCGCCCGUCACACCAUGGGAGUGGGUUGCAAAAGAAGUAGGUAGCUUAACCUUCGGGAGGGCGCUUACCACUUUGUGAUUCAUGACUGGGGUGAAGUCGUAACAAGGUAACCGUAGGGGAACCUGCGGUUGGAUCACCUCCUUA
rnacentral:rRNA from 1 species